UGACUGAGUGGCGGACGGGUGAGUAACGCGUGGGUAACCUGCCUCAUACAGGGGGAUAACAGUUAGAAAUGACUGCUAAUACCGCAUAAGACCACAGUACCGCAUGGUACAGGGGUAAAAACUCCGGUGGUAUGAGAUGGACCCGCGUCUGAUUAGGUAGUUGGUGGGGUAACGGCCUACCAAGCCGACGAUCAGUAGCCGACCUGGGAGGGUGACCGGCCACAUUGGGACUGAGACACGGCCCAA
rnacentral:rRNA from 1 species